AUGAACGCUGGCGGCGUGCCUAAUACAUGCAAGUCGAGCGAACAGACGAGGAGCUUGCUCCUCUGACGUUAGCGGCGGACGGGUGAGUAACACGUGGAUAACCUACCUAUAAGACUGGGAUAACUUCGGGAAACCGGAGCUAAUACCGGAUAAUAUAUUGAACCGCAUGGUUCAAUAGUGAAAGACGGUUUUGCUGUCACUUAUAGAUGGAUCCGCGCCGCAUUAGCUAGUUGGUAAGGUAACGGCUUACCAAGGCAACGAUGCGUAGCCGACCUGAGAGGGUGAUCGGCCGCACUGGAACUGAGACACGGUCCAGACUCCUACGGGAGGCAGCAGUAGGGAAUCUUCCGCAAUGGGCGAAAGCCUGACGGAGCAACGCCGCGUGAGUGAUGAAGGUCUUCGGAUCGUAAAACUCUGUUAUUAGGGAAGAACAAAUGUGUAAGUAACUAUGCACGUCUUGACGGCACCUAAUCAGAAAGCCACGGCUAACUACGUG
rnacentral:rRNA from 1 species